rnacentral:tRNA from 2 species
AAGAGUAAUAAUGUGUAUAUAAUAAAGCUGCUAACUUUAUUAUGAGCAAUUCAUAAUUGUACUACUCUUU